rnacentral:rRNA from 1 species
GACGAACGCUGGCGGCGUGCUUAACACAUGCAAGUCGAACGGAAAGGCCCUGCUUUUGUGGGGUGCUCGAGUGGCGAACGGGUGAGUAACACGUGAGUAACCUGCCCUUGACUUUGGGAUAACUUCAGGAAACUGGGGCUAAUACCGGAUAGGAGCUCCUGCUGCAUGGUGGGGGUUGGAAAGUUUCGGCGGUUGGGGAUGGACUCGCGGCUUAUCAGCUUGUUGGUGGGGUAGUGGCUUACCAAGGCUUUGACGGGUAGCCGGCCUGAGAGGGUGACCGGCCACUUGGGGACUGGGACACGGCCAAGGCUCAGACGGGGGGGAGCAGUGGGAAAUUUUACACAAGGGGCGGAGGCGUGAUGCAGAAACGCCGGGGGGGGGAUAACGGCCUUGGGGUUGUAACCCCAUUUCCCUUUGGACAAGGAGUAAGUGACGGUAAUGGGUAAAAAAGCACGGCUAAACACGGG